rnacentral:rRNA from 1 species
AGAGUUUGAUCCUGGCUCAGGACGAACGCUGGCGGUGUGCUUCACACAUGCAAGUCGAACGGAGUAGCAAUACUCAGUGGCGGACGGGUGAGUAACACGUGGGAAUCUACCAUUAGGUGGGGAAUAACAGGCCGAAAGGACUGCUAAUGCCGCAUAUGUAGGCAUCUCGACAGAGAUGUUUAUGAAAGGAGUAAUCCGCCUUUUGAUGAGCCCGCGUCCGAUUAGCUAGUUGGUAGGGUAAAAGCCUACCAAGGCGACGAUCGGUAGGUGGUCUGAGAGGAUGAUCACCCACAAUGGGACUGAGACACGGCCCAUACUCCUACGGGAGGCAGCAGUGGGGAAUUUUACGCAAUGGGGGAAACCCUGACGUAGCGACACCGCGUGAGCGAAGAAGCCCUUUGGGGUGUAAAGCUCUGUCAACAGGAACGAAACAAAUGACGGUACCUGUGGAGGAAGCAUCGGCUAACUACGUGCCAGCAGCCGCGGUAAGACGUAGGAUGCAAGCGUUGUCCGGAUUUAUUGGGCGUAAAGAGUUCGUAGGCGGUUUGUUAAGUCUGAUGUUAAAGACCGGGACUCAACCUCGGAAAUGCAUUGGAUACUGGCAGACUGGAGUGCAGUAGAGGCUAGUGGAAUUCCCAGUGUAGCGGUGAAAUGCGUAGA